UACAGAGACCUCAAGCGUUUAUCCGGAAUCAUUGGGCGUAAAGCGUACCGAUAGGUGGUUUUAGAAAAGUUUUGGGGUAAAAGCCAGAAGCUCAACUUCUGAGUUUGCUCAAAAUACUUCUCAACUAGAGGGGCAAAGAGGUCCUUGGAACGAACGGUGUAGUAGUGAAAUGCGUUGAUAUCGUUCGGAACACCGAAAGCGAAGGCAGAGGACUGGGUGCCACCUGACACUACUAGGAACGAAAGCGGUGGGGAGCGAAUGGG
rnacentral:rRNA from 1 species